UCAGCAGCAGCAGCAAAGGCAGCUAAGUACGGAGCUGGUGUUCCUGGCAUCGCUGGCGUUCCUGGCAUUGCCGGUGUUCCUGGAGUUCCUGGUGUUCCUGGUGUUCCUGGUGUUCCUGGAGUUCCCGGUGUUCCUGGUGUUCCUGGCGCUGUGCCCGGUGUUGGAGUGGGUGGCCCGGCAGCGGCGGCUGCAGCCAAGGCUGCGGCAAAAGCAGCGGCGAUCGGAGCAGGACGCGUGCCCGGCGUUGGCGUGCCCGGCGUUGGCGUGCCCGGCGUUGGCGUUCCCGGAGUGCGUGUGCCUGGAGUGGGUGUGCCUGGAGUGGGUGUGCCUGGUGCUGGCGUGCCCGGUUUGGUGCCCGGGGUCGGUGUUCCAGGAGGUCCGGCAGCCGCUGCCAAAGCCGCCGCCAAAGCAGCCAAGUACGGAGCAGGUGGCCUGGCUCCCGGCGUGGGUGGCCUGGCUCCCGGCGUGGGUGGCCUGGUUCCUGGAGUAGGUGGCCUGGUUCCUGGAGUAGGUGGCCUGGUUCCCGGUGUUGGAGGUGUCCCAGGUGUUGGAGGUCCAGCAGCAGCAGCCAAAGCAGCAGCCAAGGCAGCCAAAUUUGGUGCUGGGGCUGGAGGGGUGCCCGGUGUGGGCGGAGUGCCCGGAGUGACCCCCGGCGUUGGUGGCGUGCCCGGCUUGGUGCCAGGGGUGGGAGUACCUGGAACUGGCAUCCUUCCCGGGGCAGGCAUCCCCCAAGUAGGGGUGCAGCCCGGUGCUAAACCUCCCAAAUUCGGUGUUCCUGGGGUUGGAGUCCCAGGAGUUGGUGGCCUCCCAGGUGGCCUAGGAGUCGGUGGGCUCGGAGCUGGUGGCCUCGGAGCCGCUGGGAAACCUCCCAAGCCAGGGGUUGGAGUUCCCGGCUUCGGCGUAUCACCGAUAUUUCCAGGUGGGGUCGGCGGCCUGGGAUUUGGCGGGAAGCCCCCCAAGCCCUACGGAGGAGCCCUGGGUGCCCUGGGCUUUAGAGGCGGAGCGGGCUGUGCGGCAGGGAAGUACUGCGGCAGGAAGCGGAAGUAACGCUCCGUCACCGAUCACCUCAUGAACUUUGGUGCUACUGCAUGGUCCAGAAUGUAAAUCCGAAGCAAAGCUGAGACACCCCCUCCUCAGGCCCCGGAACCCCCCCCCGUCCAUGCCGGGGCCGUGCCCGGCCCCGCGUUCCACGGAGGGACCCCGCGUUCCCCGGCAGCGUCCGGGGCCCCCCGGCCCUCGGUCCCGGCAGGGAGCGCGGAAUAAAGUGCGGGGAGCAGCCGUCCCCCUUGGUGCU
rnacentral:lncRNA from 1 species